AUGGAGGUGCUGGCGAUGUCUGGACUCUACUCCCUCAGCAGCUCAGUGACUGUACCCUCCAGCACUUGGCCCAGCCAGACCAUCACCUGCAACGUAGCCCACCCGGCCAGCAGCACCAAGGUGGACAAGACCGUUGUUCCUGACCUUUCUGCUGGACCAUCCGUCUAUAUCUUCCCCCCAAAGACCAAGGAUAUACUCUUGAUCUCCCAGAAUGCCAAGGUCACAUGUGUGGUGGUGGACGUGAGCCAGGAUGAACCAGACGUCCAGUUCAGAUGGUUUGUGGACAACAAAGAAGUGCACACAGCUCAGACGCAGCCCCGUGAGGAACAGUACAACAGUACCUUGAGGGUGGUCAGUGCCCUCCCCAUCCAGCACGAUGACUGGAUGAAGGGCAAGGAGUUCAAAUGCAAGGUCACCAACAAAGACCUCCCAGGCCCCGUUGAGAGAACCAUCUCAAAACCCAGAGGGCUAGUCAGAGCACCACAGGUACACGUCUUACCACCACCAGCAGAGCAGAUGGCCAAGAAAGAAGUCAGUUUGACCUGCAUGAUCACAGGCUUCCUACCUGAGGACAUUGAUGUGGAGUGGACUAGCAAUGGGCGUCCAGAACAGAACUACAAGAACACCACACCCGUCCUGGAUUCUGACGGUUCUUACUUCCUAUACAGCAAGCUCAAUGUGCCAAAGAGCAGAUGGGAGGAAGGAACUAGUUUCGUCUGCUCAGUGGUACACUUGGGCCUACCCAAACACCACAUGACGAAGAGCAUCUCCCAUACUCUGGGGCUGGAACUGGAUGAUUCCUGUACUGAGGCCCAGGACGGGGAGCUGGACGGGCUCUGGACGACCAUCACCAUCUUCAUCAGCCUCUUCCUGCUCAGCGUGUGCUACAGCGCCUCUGUCACACUCUUCAAGGUAAAGUGGAUCUUCGCAGUGGUGGAGCUGAAGCAGAAAAUCUCCCCUGACUACAGAAACAUGAUUGGGCAGGGGGCCUAG